rnacentral:rRNA from 1 species
CCUACGGGAGGCAGCAGUAGGGAAUCUUCCGCAAUGGACGAAAGUCUGACGGAGCAACGCCGCGUGAACGAUGAAGGCCUUCGGGUCGUAAAGUUCUGUUGUUAGGGAAGAACAAGUGUUAGUUGAAUAAGCUGGCACCUUGACGGUACCUAACCAGAAAGCCACGGCUAACUACGUGCCAGCAGCCGCGGUAAUACGUAGGUGGCAAGCGUUGUCCGGAAUUAUUGGGCGUAAAGCGCGCGCAGGCGGUUUCUUAAGUCUGAUGUGAAAGCCCCCGGCUCAACCGGGGAGGGUCAUUGGAAACUGGGAAACUUGAGUGCAGAAGAGGAAAGUGGAAUUCCAAGUGUAGCGGUGAAAUGCGUAGAGAUUUGGAGGAACACCAGUGGCGAAGGCGACUUUCUGGUCUGUAACUGACGCUGAGGCGCGAAAGCGUGGGGAGCAAACAGGAUUAGAUACCCGUGGUAGUCCACGCUGUAAACGAUGAGUGACUAAGUGUUAGAGGGUUUCCGCCCUUUAGUGCUAGAAGUUAACGCAUUAAGCACUCCGCCGUGGGGAGUACGGUCGCGAAGCUAGAAACGUUAAAGGAAUUGACGG